UUAUCAUGGAAAGGAGAUCUGAGAGGUCUAGAGUAACUGGAGGAGACCUCAUAAGUCACUUGGCCUUAAAGAGCAGCAGAGAGGAGAGCAGUGAACUGUAAGAAUAGCAUGGCCUGAGGAAGGGAGACGGCAGGGGCUGAAUGGAAGGACUUGGGGAGCCCCUUGGAGAUGGUCUGCAGACAACACAGAGCUAAGGAUCUGUGGAAGGUCUGACUGACAGCUGCCAGAGACAGGAGAGGGGACUUUGGAGCAGAAAAGAGGAGUGAAAUGGUGUAUGAACUAGAAUUCUAAGGGUUGUGAUCAGGGACACUGGGAAGCAGUUUUGCAUGUGGGAGACAGCAUGAUCCCAGGAGUAAGAUGAUAGAGAUGGAGUCCUCACUCGGCCAGUCCUGCCUUCCUUUGGAGUGAUAGGAGAGUCAACUGUGUGAUAAGAUCAAGGCCUGGUGCUGAAGGAAGGAACUUCCACUCUCCCCAAGGUUGGAUAAAAAUCCUGAACAUACCUUCUGGAUCUAAGAUUAAAGCCAUGCAAAUUUGGGCAGGCUGUUCAGCCUCUUUGGGCUUUCUCUUUCCUAGUUGUCAAAUGGAAAUAAGUUUGCAAAACUGAUAGUGACAUUCCCACCAUUUUCUUCUAGCGGUGCUGGUUAGGACAAAGAGCAGUGUGUGAGAGGGCCAUGACUCAGAACGGAAAAUAAAUGCACAGUGGAUGAACUUAGAGUGUCAGCCUCUGUUCUUCAUGGGGCCACCAUAUGAGUGGAUCUUUGCAGAACAAGUCAUUCCUGCCCUCAUGCCUACCAGUGGGUCCUGUGGUCCUGAGCACACCACAUUCUGCUUCUUGCCACUGGGAACGGGGCUCUGGGUCAACAGCUUCACCACAGUGCCAGCACGGAUUCAGGACCCAGCUAUAAAGUGCUGUCUCUCCCUCUCAAAAAGUAAAC